rnacentral:rRNA from 1 species
UACGUAGGGUGCGAGCGUUGUCCGGAAUUACUGGGCGUAAAGAGCUCGUAGGUGGUUUGUCGCGUUGUUCGUGAAAUCUCACGGCUUAACUGUGAGCGUGCGGGCGAUACGGGCAGACUAGAGUACUGCAGGGGAGACUGGAAUUCCUGGUGUAGCGGUGGAAUGCGCAGAUAUCAGGAGGAACACCGAUGGCGAAGGCAGGUCUCUGGGCAUUAACUGACGCUGAGGAGCGAAAGCAUGGGGAGCGAACAGG